GACGAACGCUGGCGGCGUGCUUAACACAUGCAAGUCGAACGGAAAGGCCCUGCUUUUGUGGGGUGCUCGAGUGGCGAACGGGUGAGUAACACGUGAGUAACCUGCCCUUGACUUUGGGAUAACUUCAGGAAACUGGGGCUAAUACCGGAUAGGAGCUCCUGCUGCAUGGUGGGGGUUGGAAAGUUUCGGCGGUUGGGGAUGGACUCGCGGCUUAUCAGCUUGUUGGUGGGGUAGUGGCUUACCAAGGCUUUGACGGGUAGCCGGCCUGAGAGGGUGACCGGCCACAUUGGGCCUGGGAUACGGCCCGGACUCCUACGGGAGGCAGCAGUGGGGAAUAUUGCACAAUGGGCGGAAGCCUGAUGCAGCAACGCCGCGUGCGGGAUGACGGCCUUCGGGUUGUAAACCGCUUUCGCCUGUGACGAAGCGUGAGUGACGGUAAUGGGUAAAGAAGCACCGGCUAACUACGUG
rnacentral:rRNA from 1 species